rnacentral:rRNA from 1 species
GACAGAGGGUGCAAACGUUGUUCGGAAUUACUGGGCGUAAAGCGCGUGUAGGCGGCCCUGCAAGUCGGAUGUGAAAUCCCACGGCUCAACCGUGGAAGUGCAUUCGAAAACUGCAGGGCUAGAGUCCUGGAGAGGAAGGUGGAAUGCUUGGUGUAGAGGUGAAAUGCGCAGAUAUCGGGAGGAACACCAAUGGCGGAGGCAGCUCGCUGGGACGUUACUGACGCUGAGACGCGAAAGCGUGGGGAGCAAACAGG